rnacentral:rRNA from 1 species
CCUACGGGAGGCAGCAGUAGGGAAUAUUGCUCAAUGGGGGAAACCCUGAAGCAGCAACGCCGCGUGAAGGAUGAAGGUGUUCGGAUUGUAAACUCCUUUUUUUCGAGAAGCUAAUGACGAUAUCUGACGCAUAAGCACCGGCUAACUCCGAGACAGCAGCCGCGGUAACACGGAAGGUGCAAGCGUUACUCGGAAUCAAUGGGCGUAAAUGGCGCGUAGGGGGGAUAGCAAGUCAGAUGGGAAAUCCUAUGGCUUAACCAUAGAACUGCAGUUGAAACUGGUAUUCUAGAGUAUGCGAGAGGUAGGUGGAAUGCGUGGUGUAGCGGUAAAAUCCGUAGAGAUCAAGAGGAAUACUCAUUGCGAAGGCGACAUGCUAGAACAUAACUGACGCUGAUGCGCGAAAGCGUGGGGAGCGAACAGGAUUAGAUACCCGAGUAGUC